GUGAGAUCCUGACCCACCCUGGAACCAACGGAAUUUCUGCCAUUGACCUCAGCAAGUCUCAGACUACACUCCUGAUGUUUGGAUGCUAUAUAUUUUGAUGUUUUUAUAAAAGCUUCCUUGGAAGAUGGAGUAUUUAGUAGACUGAAUAUCACAUUAACACUUCUUGACUGAAAAUUAGAUUUAAUGGACUAGACAACUAUGUCAGGAGAGAGAGAAGAAAUAAAUAGGACUAGAAGACCGAGGCAGUCUGGAAGACAGAACAACAGCCUAACAUAAAAAAUCUGAUGGGCCUCUUAGGAGAAAGAGGUGUCCCCCCAAACACACCAAAAGAAGGGAGUCAUUGUAUGGAAAGUUUUCAUUGAUGUCAUGAAAAAACAGGCAACCAUGUCUCUCUUGUAAAAUACAGUGUGUGCUCAGAAGUUUUACAAUGGGUAGAGGUGUGCCUUUGAUUUGAAUGGACUGGCAUAUAUGAAAAGGAAAAUAAAAU